rnacentral:rRNA from 1 species
AGAGUUUGAUUAUGGCUCAGGAUGAACGCUAGCUACAGGCUAACACAUGCAAGUCGAGGGGCAGCAUGAAGUUUGCUUGCAAACUUGAUGGCGACCGGCGCACGGGUGAGUAACGCGUAUCCAACCUUCCCUAUACUAGAGGAUAGCCCGGCGAAAGUCGGAUUAAUACUCUAUGUUCUUCGUAGAAGACAUCUGAAAUGAAGCAAAGGUUUACCGGUAUAGGAUGGGGAUGCGUCUGAUUAGGUUGUUGGCGGGGUAACGGCCCACCAAGCCCACGAUCAGUAGGGUUCUGAGAGGAAGGUCCCCCACAUCGGAACUGAGACACGGUCCAAACUCCUACGGGAGGCAGCAGUGAGGAAUAUUGGUCAAUGGACGAGAGUCUGAACCAGCCAAGUAGCCGUGCAGGAUGACGGCCCUAUGGGUUGUAAACUGCUUUUAUACAAGGAUAAAGUGACGUACGUGUACGUUUUUGUAGGUACUGUAUGAAUAAGGACCGGCUAAUUCCGUGCCAGCAGCCGC